GUUUUCUGUCACUAAGGGAAUUUUUUUUUCCUGAUUAGAAGAUUAUUAACUGGUUGAAAGAAGAUUCAGCAAGUAUCCUAGUAGCCUGAGAUUUUGUGUUUCGUUUCCUCUUUCUGUUUUGACACAAAGACUAGAACAAGACAAGAAAAGAAGAAAGCUGAAGGACAAUGUUUGUUAAACAACAUUGAAUAAAGAAGGUAUAGGGACUUUAGGUUCUUGGGAUUUGUAAGACUUGAGCACAGAUAAAGCCUUAGGUAGAGUAAUUAGAGUAAGUGGGUAAUUAAAGGCUUCUGACACCAGAAUCUGAGAGAACUGUCAAAAACUGCAAGCCAAGCUGCCAGCAUCAAAGUUCUAAUCCUGGGAUGGACUGGUGACACGCAAGUUCCUGCCCCUAAGAAAAAAUUCAGUGUGAAUCACACUUUAUUUUCUACUUAGCCUUAAUCGGUAAAAUGGAGGUUACCUGAAAGUAGCUGAAGCUUAGAAAGGAUCACAUCAGUCCAUACUUCAGGAUUUUCACUUCUUUAAAAAAAAAGUCAAAUAUGCAUAUAUGUCCUGCAAGUAAUUAGACAUAGAUUAAAUAUUUUAGUAAAAAAAAUCAUUUUAUAGAGUAAAAAAGAGGGGCGAUAAGAUCUCGUUUUCGCUGGUUCUCUUAGAUAUUCUCAUCUACAAGCGCGCUUAACCACUUGGCCAAUAUGGCCAAAGUUAGAUACUCCUAUUAAGCUAAUGACCAUAAAUGUUCAAAAGCAAACAAACAAAAAAAAAGGCGCUUAAGAGGAAAUAAGCAGCUUUUAUGGCCAACUUUGCAAGUGGAAGCAUCACCUGUGACGUCAGCAAGAGAGCUCUGGCAUUAAGAACUGCGAAGUACCAAGUCCUUGCAGUAGCAACUACUUUUAGGUGCAAAACAGUACAAAGUAAGCUUGGAUGGGAAGACAGUAGCAACUAGAGGGAACUGGGAAAACAAGACAUAAGGUGUCACUCGAGCACAUUCCAGGCAUGGGUGUCAGCCCAAGAUACGAAACUGGAGAUGAAGUGUCAUUUGUGAUGGAAGGCAAGUUUGGCUGGAACACAAUGUAUGGAGGUGAGUAAUAUAUAAUGAGGUUGAAAAGGUAGGAGGGAGCCAGGAUGUGAACAGCUUUAAAAGAUAAACAGAGGAAAAGCUAAUAGCAGCUCAUUAAGGGCUCAGAGCACUCUGCUAGGCACUGGGGAGUAUUAUUAAGCUUACAUAAAGCUAGAUCUCUGUCUGUACUUGGAACUUAAACCUAGUCCCUGACACACAUAGAUGUAAUACACAAUAUUUCAUACUAAGUACAUUAGCUAAUUAUAAAAGAAUGCUUUAAGUAAGGUCUGAGGGACAAAGCGUUCACGUGGCGGUCAGAAGGAGGAUACAAGGACACUCUCAAGGUCUCCCUUAAGAACUUUGGAAUUGAUUGUGUGACGUGGGAGACACUGGCAUAGGGCUGCUCAGCAUGACAUUACCCAC
rnacentral:lncRNA from 1 species